CUGGGAAAGUGUUUACAAUAUUUUCACAUGAUUGAGAUGGCAGAGUUCUUGCACUCUGUGAAAGGCCUUCUGUUUUCAGAUGGCAUUGAAAGUUUACCGUCUUUCCAGACAAAAGGAAGAGAGCCCGUUGCCAGCGGAUGAGUAAUGGGCAUGGCCUCCGCACAAUACCUCCUAUCCAGUCCUAAAUCUACAUGGUGUUCUUAGGCUUCCCGGCUUCUCCAAAGCAACCUUUGUCUCUGCUCUGGGAGACCAAAACUACUCGUUGGGCAAGUGGGGAUGAAGCCAAGAGGGGAAGGCUCAGUGACAACAGUUGCUCAGUGCUCACUGCCCAGUAUCUGCCUCCUUACCAUGCCACUAUAAUAGUUGGGAACCCAUCAACAAUUAAGCAUCUUCUAUACAAAUAUGUUGCAGACCAUCUGUAUAGUUCUCAGUUCCAGAAGAUUCCAGUAACUCACUAAGUUUUAAUAUUUUUUUUUUCUUCUUAAUCUGAUGGGCUGCCCUGAGAUAAGUGAUUAAAGCAAAAAGCCUGACAUAAUUUCUUCGGAGCUAAAACUGCACAGAAGUUGCCAAUUCCUGUAUUUGUUUUCUUACAAGAAACUUGAAGCAGGCAUUUUCCACUGUUAGCAAUUUUUAGGUUCUAUCAAGUCAUAUUUUUUUUAUUUUUGGUCAGAAAAAUAUUUUGGUGAAAAAGAUUGCUAACAUAAUCUUAGAAAAUAUUUGAACAGGCAAUUCUGAAGUUUUUCCAGAGACUUGUUGGUGUUAUAGAGACCAGUAGAGGCAAACAUGUGAGUGCUUAGAAGAAAAUACUCCUGAACACAAGCCGUUGUUGAAGUUUACCUCUGAUGACAUCUUUGGGAAACACACUGAAACACCCCAUAGGAACAAGGAAUGCAUAAAGCCUGCAAGCUCUUUAACAGGUGGAAAAGUCAUUCUGUGACAGCUAAGAGAUGAAAUCAAAGAAAGGAGACCUAGUUCAACAGACAUGAACUUUCUGAAUGAAGGCAACUGAAAGAUCAAGAGAAUCAAGAAUAUGAGUGAUCAGCAAGCACAAAAGUCAGCUUCAGGUGUGCUUCCAGUAAGCUGCUUGUUCUGAGAAAACAUCAACCCUAUUUUUUGCACCUGCAAGCUGGUUAUCUGGACUAGCCUGAUACUUAACAUGUACCCUGAGAGUUUGCUCUCCUUUUUCUGAUGCUUUGUUGAUGCCUAGCCUUGGUGCUUGGGCUUAGGGCCCUGCAUGAUUUAAUUGCACAUUACAACAUUGUAUUCCCUUUUCCUUGGCUUUGCUUCCAGAAAUCUAUCAACAAACCUGUAAAUUCUUUUUGUUUGUUUUUCAUUGUCUAUCAUUUUUUCUUCUGUAAAAUAAUACUGCUCAUGUCUUGAAGGUCAGUUAAUGUUUUUAUGUAAACCUGCAAAUGCUCAUCCAAAUGCUUUGGUCUCUGUUUAACAUCUUUCUCUGAAUUACUUUAUUUUAAUUUCUAACUUUAGCAUUUUCCUCAUCUUUUGUCUCAAAUGAUUUUCUUUAGCUAGCAAGAUUUUUGAUUUAUACUUUCUAACUUCAUUCUCUCUUAUAUUUCAAAGUGCUUGAAACAUUAUGGUUCUCUAUAAAAGUCCUUGCUCAGAUAUGCUUUUUCAGAGACACAGCUUCUCAUACCAUGUUUUUCUAAGAGUUUUUUUUUUUAUUUUGGUGGUUAUUGCCCUGACAGAUGGAAUUCUUGACUCUUCCAUUUGAGUCUGGUAAGUAGUCUAAAAAAAGUUAGGUGGCCUUGCUGUCACUUGAGAGGUUGGGACUUCAUUUCUUUCUUUAUUUACAAACAACCCAGAACAUUAUUGGUAUCUAUAGUGAAGAUGGAAAUAUUGCCAUUGGAUCUAAACUGAGAUCCAGGGGGGACCACUGUUUUAAAAACAGUGAAUUUAGAAGACAAAUGUAAACUUUCUUAGUGUGAUGAAACAUAAUGCAUUUAUUUGAAGUAUAUUUAAAAAAAUGAGACUUGAAUGAGCUUUGAACUUAGUAUAUGAGUUGACUUUUCAUCUCUGACUUUGAUUUGAAUAGCUGUCAAAAUACUAUUAAUUAUGGUACUAUUUUAAUUUUUUUAGAAAUUCUUUGUACAGUGCCUUGACGAAGAUCAUAACAUAAAUUUGGGCAGUUGUAAAACUCUUCCUUCUCUUUCUAAGCAUUUACUCUUGGAACAAAUCCUGCUGAAGUCCCUGGGAGUAAAGGACAAUCUGGGAGAGCUGCUAAUCUUAUUCUUACCAUAGCUGUGUCUUGCCUGCUAUCCUGCUUUGUGUCUGUCAGGCUCAUGAUGGAAAUAAAUUAUCCUUUGACAAUGUCUUGUUGGUAGAUUUGAAUAAGUCUUAGAAGAUUAGUGAGACACAGUUUUCUCUGUAGAAACUCUGCUGAUUUGACUCUGCGGCAUCCUGAACAUCCAGUCAUUUUGUUAUCUUGUUUUUAAUGACUAUUUCAAAGUGAUGCCUUUAACAGCCAGUAGAGACCCUUCUAAAUAAAGGUAUGACAUUUGUUCCCUCCAGUCUUCCGAAAAAGUUGUUGUUUUCAUGUAGUCUGAGAUUUUAGUUUCCUCACAAUUUGCAUGUCUUGUGGGUCUGGUAAUUUUUAAAAAGUUUCAUAUAUUGGCAAAUCAAAAUUUUUCACAGCUGCUCCUCUUUAUUAAAAAAUCAAACAAAUGUCUACCCACCCCAAAAAGCCAAUUCCCAAAAAAAUCCCAAACCUAAAACAAAAACAACAAAGCACAAGAAAUUUUGAGAUUCGUAAUUCCCUGACAUUCUGAGCAAAGAUAACUGAUGCUGGAAAAUAAUAUAGCUCUCCAACAAAAUGAAACAGAUUUUCUAAUUGCUUUCUUUAGGUCCUCCCAAUCUAAUGCCAUCACUGAGUGUUGUAUGACCUUUUUACUUCUGAUGGACUUAUUUUUUUUCCGCACUACCUCUCAGCUUGUGAUAAACUCUCCAGUUCUUGUCCCAGCUUCCUGUUCCUGAUAUACAGAACACAUGUCAGAACAACUGGCUUAGCUGGAAAUUAAAAGAAGAAAAAAACCAAAACAACAACAACAACAAACCCCCCCAAAAACUAGAGACAUAAGCUAUAAAAUAAAAAAUAAAGUACAAGCACCAACCCAGUAUGAGCUUUAGGGUGUUAAAAUCAAGAUUUUGGAGAUUCUAGAGGUUCAGUUGUCACGUAAGUGAAUCUGAGAUUUUAUUUUCUUUUUUUGCUGUUGUUGCUAAUAUAAAUUUCUUUGGCUUGUAAAAGUUUCAACGAACCCAUGGCUGUUUCUCAUUAGUGGUGGCUGUCACUAAAAUGAAUAUGUUGCUGAGUGUUCAGUUUCUGGGAAACGUGGUUGAAACACGAGCAGCUCUCUCGAUGCAGAGCUCAGAGUCAGAUGUUUUCAGAGGGGAUGUUCCCCAUUAAGUAAUGACAGAGAACCAUACGGAACACAUUACAAAUCGAAAUACUGAUUGAUGAAGUGCCUGUGGUCAGCUUUCUACAGAAAUGAGAAUUUUGAACGUAUUAUCACGUCAGCAUGGAAUUGAUCUCAUGUACAAUCACAUUUUGUUUUCAUUUCUUUUUUGCUUUACAGUCUCACACGUGUUGUUCCAGAUCACGUUUAUAGCGAGCAGAACCUCAGACUAAAGGAAAUAAAGCAUCAAGUUUGA